rnacentral:rRNA from 1 species
GGCGGACGGGUGAGUAAUGUCUGGGAAACUGCCUGAUGGAGGGGGAUAACUACUGGAAACGGUGGCUAAUACCGCAUAACGUCGCAAGACCAAAGAGGGGGACCUUCGGGCCUCUUGCCAUCAGAUGUGCCCAGAUGGGAUUAGCUUGUUGGUGAGGUAACGGCUCACCAAGGCGACGAUCCCUAGCUGGUCUGAGAGGAUGACCAGCCACACUGGAACUGAGACACGGUCCAGACUCCUACGGGAGGCAGCAGUGGGGAAUAUUGCACAAUGGGCGCAAGCCUGAUGCAGCCAUGCCGCGUGUAUGAAGAAGGCCUUCGGGUUGUAAAGUACUUUCAGCGGGGAGGAAGGUGUUGUGGUUAAUAACCGCAGCAAUUGACGUUACCCGCAGAAGAAGCACCGGCUAACUCCGUGCCAGCAGCCGCGGUAAUACGGAGGGUGCAAGCGUUAAUCGGAAUUACUGGGCGUAAAGCGCACGCAGGCGGUCUGUCAAGUCGGAUGUGAAAUCCCCGGGCUCAACCUGGGAACUGCAUUCGAAACUGGCAGGCUUGAGUCUUGUAGAGGGGGGUAGAAUUCCAGGUGUAGCGGUGAAAUGCGUAGAGAUCUGGAGGAAUACCGGUGGCGAAGGCGGCCCCCUGGACAAAGACUGACGCUCAGGUGCGAAAGCGUGGGGAGCAAACAGGAUUAGAUACCCUGGUAGUCCACGCCGUAAACGAUGUCUACUUGGAGGUUGUGCCCUUGAGGCGUGGCUUCCGGAGCUAACGCGUUAAGUAGACCGCCUGGGGAGUACGGCCGCAAGGUUAAAACUCAAAUGAAUUGACGGGGGCCCGCACAAGCGGUGGAGCAUGUGGUUUAAUUCGAUGCAACGCGAAGAACCUUACCUGGUCUUGACAUCCACAGAACUUUCCAGAGAUGGAUUGGUGCCUUCGGGAACUGUGAGACAGGUGCUGCAUGGCUGUCGUCAGCUCGUGUUGUGAAAUGUUGGGUUAAGUCCCGCAACGAGCGCAACCCUUAUCCUUUGUUGCCAGCGGUCCGGCCGGGAACUCAAAGGAGACUGCCAGUGAUAAACUGGAGGAAGGUGGGGAUGACGUCAAGUCAUCAUGGCCCUUACGACCAGGGCUACACACGUGCUACAAUGGCGCAUACAAAGAGAAGCGACCUCGCGAGAGCAAGCGGACCUCAUAAAGUGCGUCGUAGUCCGGAUUGGAGUCUGCAACUCGACUCCAUGAAGUCGGAAUCGCUAGUAAUCGUGGAUCAGAAUGCCACGGUGAAUACGUUCCCGGGCCUUGUACACACCGCCCGUCACACCAUGGGAGUGGGUUGCAAAAGAAGUAGGUAGCUUAACCUUCGGGAGGGCGCUUACCACUUUGUGAUUCAUGACUGGGGUGAAGUCGUAACAAGGUAACCGUAGGGGAACCUGCGGUUGGAUCACCUCCUUACCUUAAAGAUGC